UGGGGAAUUUUGGACAAUGGGCGAAAGCCUGAUCCAGCCAUGCCGCGUGCAGGAUGAAGGCCUUCGGGUUGUAAACUGCUUUUGUACGGAACGAAAAGACUCUGGUUAAUACCUGGGGUCCAUGACGGUACCGUAAGAAUAAGCACCGGCUAACUACGUGCCAGCAGCCGCGGUAAUACGUAGGGUGCAAGCGUUAAUCGGAAUUACUGGGCGUAAAGCGUGCGCAGGCGGUUAUAUAAGACAGAUGUGAAAUCCCCGGGCUCAACCUGGGAACUGCAUUUGUGACUGUAUAGCUAGAGUACGGCAGAGGGGGGAUGGAAUUUCCGCGUGUAGCAGUGAAAUGCGUAGAUAUGCGGAGGAACACCGAUGGCGAAGGCAAUCCCCUGGGCCUGUACUGACGCUCAUGCACGAAAGCGUGGGGAGCAAACAGGAUUAGAUACCCUGGUAGUCCACGCCCUAAACGAUGUCAACUGGUUGUUGGGGUCUUCACUGACUCAGUAACGAAGCUAACGCGUGAAGUUGACCGCCUGGGGAGUACGGCCGCAAGG
rnacentral:rRNA from 1 species